rnacentral:rRNA from 1 species
UUACGAGGUCAGGACACUGUGAGGAUUGACAGAUUGAAAGCUCUUUCUUGAUUCAGUGGGUGGUGGUGCAUGGCCGUUCUUAGUUGGUGGAGUGAUUUGUCUGGUUAAUUCCGUUAACGAACGAGACUUUAACCUGCUAAAUAGUCACGCGAACCGGUCCGCAAGGGCUCAAAGUUCGCGGCUCGACUUCUUAGAGGGACUAUUCGCACCCGCCAGCGAAUGGAAGUUUGAGGCAAUAACAGGUCUGUGAUGCCCUUAGAUGUUCUCGGCCGCACGCGCGUUACACUGACGGAGUCAACGAGCGUUUUUCCUUGCCCGAUAGGGCCGGGUAACCUCCUGAAACUCCGUCGUGAUGGGGAUAGAUCAUUGCAAUUAUUGAUCUUGAACGAGGAAUUCCUAGUAGGCGCGAGUCAUCAACUCGCGCUGAUUACGUCCCUGCCCUUUGUACACACCGCCCGUCGCUCCUACCGAUUGAACGGUCCGGCGAGAACUCCGGAUGGUC